rnacentral:tRNA from 1 species
ACCUGGGUGGCUCAAGUGGUUAAGUGUCUGACUUCGGCUCAGGUCAUGAUCUCACAGUUUAUGGGGUUUGUGGGUUCGAGCCCCACCUCCGGCU